UACGAAGGGGGCUAGCGUUGUUCGGAAUUACUGGGCGUAAAGCGUGCGCAGGCGGUUUUCCAAGUCAGUGGUGAAAGCCCGGAGCUCAACUCCGGAACUGCCAUUGAGACUGUGAAACUAGAGUACGAGAGAGGUGAGUGGAAUUCCCAGUGUAGAGGUGAAAUUCGUAGAUAUUCGCAAGAACACCAGUGGCGAAGGCGGCUCACUGGCCCGGUACUGACGCUGAGAUGCGAAAGCGUGGGGAGCAAACAGG
rnacentral:rRNA from 1 species